AAACCAUGAUGAGGGCAUUUUCUCAAAAGGUCGUUGAACCUUUCAUGUGCCUCAAAAAGUAUCCCAAAAUUACCUUGCCUAAACACAGAAAUCUCUUGUCUCAAUCU